ensembl:processed_transcript
GAGGCGGGAGCAGUCGGGAUGUCAGCCGGAGAAGAUUGUCCCUUGGACCAAAGGGCACUUCCCAAAAAGACUCCACGGGGUAGGGGGCUACAGCGGGACGGCGGGAGGAGCCGUGAGUGCGCGGUGGCGUGUACCGGAGCGCCUCCUUCUAACCGCGAGUAAGACAAGGGGAGAACUGUCGAACCAAUGUAGGCUUGGAGCCCCGCCUCUUCCCCCACCUCCUGGAUUCCAGCAUCUGAGACUGGGUUUCCUUGCUGGGUUUCUCGCGUACUUGCAGAGACCACCAAAUAGACCAUCUCUCCAGCACUGGAAGCACAAGAUUUCUUCAUUUAGCAUAAGGCCACUUCUCUGAGAUAUCUGGCAUUUUUUUCUUCCUGCUUCAACCCCAACCCCCAAACGAUGAGUAUGAGCAGCUAUUUAAGAGUUUAAAUAAAUAACAAAGAAGUCAUUCUUCCAGGCAAACAGACCAUCCUCUGAGACAUCUGCAAACAUUUGCAAGCAUCUUUAGGAGUUCUGUUGCGCCUGCUUUGGAAAGAUCAUCACAGCUGGGCCUGUGGACGGUUUACCUUCCGUCAUAGAAGGAGGAGGUGGGACAGAAGGUCACGGGACCUUCACCUGAGUAUGCAGCCGUCCCUCUCAACCGGCUGUAUGCAAUUCUGUCCUAACUGCAGAUGGUUUCGGGGGAGGGGCUAGAGGAUAGAGUAGGAAGAGGCAAGGGGAAGUCUCCUUAGGGAAGUCACCAGAGCUGCUUCAAGGUCAUCCGUGCCUACACCCCUAACCCACUGCUCUAGGCCAGAAGAGGGCAUCUGACCACCUGGAGCUGGAUGGUCAUGCGCCAUCCUGUGGGCACUAGGAACUGAACGAAGACUCUCCAUCUCUCCAGUCCUGGUUUGUGGCUCUUGUUGAGACGGGUACAAUGGGCAUAUAGGAGUGGGAGGGACCAUCAGCAUCUUUACCGAGUCUGAGAGCAUCUUCUGUAUGUGACUUGUUAUAAGAUGCAGACAAACAGAAGCAAGAGGGAACAACAUCCUGAGGCAAGGCUCGGGGACUGGGGCUCUGCCUUUAUUUGUAGGAUGAUCUGUGCUGCUUGCUGCCUCUUGUUAGGCCUGCAUCCUGUGAUACCAAUUUACAAAGGGUAUCAUUCCCUUUGGGAAUAUGACAAAUCAUCUUUUCCCAACACCUCAUGCCUCGUAGAACUAAAGGCAACCCUGUCAAAAGUGGCCUGCGGUAAACGAUAGUGUCAGAAAACUCUGUGGAUAGGGUGGGGCAUGUGGCUCACUUUGUAGAGUGCUUGCCUAGUUUGCAUGAAGUCCUAAAUUCAACCCCUAGGAUCCCAUAAACUGUGUGUGGUGACACAGGCCUGUAAUCCCAGCACUUAGGAAAUACAGUUCAGAGCAUCAGAAGUUCAAGGGCAUCAUUAGUUUGCUUGUGGAGUUAAAAGGCCAGGCUGGAAUAUAUAAAACUCUGUGUCAAAAGUAAGUCAGGUGACAGGGCAGAGAGGGAGAAUGCGACUCUGUAAAAGAGACUGUGUGGAUAUGAGGUAGAACAGAAGAAAACGAUGAGUCUUAGGGCUCUGGGACCAUACAGACUGGCCGAAGGACUGUAACCUUUGUAAGGUUUCUCCUUGUAGAAAGGCUUGGAAAGAGGACAUUUCAAGAAAUGAGGAUGUAUACAUUUAUUUAGUCUAGGCCAAGCCAGCUAAUGUUCCUUGAGGACACAGUCUUGUCAGAGUCAGGCUCCCAGGAGGCCCUGAAAAGAGAGGGUAUAUUAUAGCCAACACGACAGACAAACGGUUUCCGUCCGGGAUGUGCUAAGACCAUCCUUCUUCAUGGUCCAGUGCUAUAAAUUCACUGCCCACCAUGCUUUGCUUCUGAACCCCGGCUGGGAGACAGAAGGGAGCCACAGAUAAGUAAAAAUCAAGACCGACAUACUGUGGUACUGACAGGGAAGGCGGGGAAGGAGAAAAGUGUCUAUAAGCCAGCUGGCAGAGAAAGCUCUCCUGAGGAGAGUUUGUGCGUUUAAUGUAGCAUUUAGGGUUUUCAUUUGCUAUGUAUCAUUGAUGAGCUUAAAUCAAUGGCUUUGGGGAUCGAAUUCAUGCUCCAUAUUCUUCAGCCUGGAGCUGAAAGUCAGAGGGAAUGUUGAGAGCCAGGACUCUGUUCUCUCUUGGGCCUUUCUUUCCCCUUUCCCAUUGGUUUAUAUGUAGCAUCUCUCCUGUGAGUGGCAGGGAAUUUGAAGCAGCUACCACAUUCUAGGUAAUGAUCCAAGUGGCUCUUUGCCAGUGAUGAGCCGCUUGGGAACCACAUACCCAAAUGUUAAAUUAUUGUUGACAUUUAACAAAAAGAAAAAAAAAGAUUUUCAUCUGUUGAACAGGAAGAGAUGUAUAAAAUUCAAGAGAAUAUGAGCAAGCAAAAAUAAAUAAAUAAAUAAAUAAAACUAUGAACAAGC